AUGAGGAAGAUGAAGAA
rnacentral:sRNA from 1 species